ACUGCGAAGCUAGCAUGCUAAGCUAACAGCUGAUUGAAGUACAUGUUUUCUUAAUGAAUAAUCGUAAAAAUACUGCAAAUAAUGUUUGCCAAGAUAUAGUAUCUGCAAACCAAAUGUUCGUCAUAUCGGUGCAUGUUGUUUGUUUCUCCUUUUUUUAUCCUCCAAGUUAAUUGAAGAAAAACGUGGUAUUGACAGAGUUGAGAGCAUUACUGAAAUUAAUCUUUCAUUGAAUUAGUUGAUUAAUUGUCGACAGUAAAUUUAUUUAUUCAUCUGCUACCGUCAUUGUAAGUCAGCUGUUCCAUUUACGUCGCAACACUGGAAAAUGAGCCGUACUUCCACCAGAACUAUUCAUGUCACACUUUGUCCUCACUCAAGGUGGAAACGCACGCAACUCAUUCUUAUUUCAGUAUUUUGUAUUUUCCACUGUCAUUUAGACUCUGCUUCAUUACUGCAGCUAAAUAAAUAAUUUCACAGUGUUAUUAAAGGCAGUAAUAAAGGACCAGUACAGAAGAAAAU